AUUGAACGCUGGCGGCAGGCCUAACACAUGCAAGUCGAGCGGAGCGGCGGACGGGUGAGUAAUGCCUAGGAAUCUGCCUGGUAGUGGGGGAUAACGUCCGGCAACGGGCGCUAAUCCCGACUACUAUCGGAUGAGCCUAGGUCGGAUUAGCAAGUUGGGGGGGUAAAGGCAUACCAAGGCGACGAUCCGUAACUGGUCUGAGAGGAUGAUCAGUCACACUGGAACUGAGACACGGUCCAGACUCCUACGGGAGGCAGCAGUGGGGAAUAUUGGACAAUGGGCGAAAGCCUGAUCCAGCCAUGCCGCGUGUGUGAAGAAGGUCUUCGGAUUGUAAAGCACUUUAAGUUGGGAGGCGUUACCAACAGAAUAAGCACCGGCUAACUUCGUGCCAGCAGCCGCGGUAAUAC
rnacentral:rRNA from 1 species